UUAAAUUGAAGAGUUUGAUCAUGGCUCAGAUUGAACGCUGGCGGCAGGCCUAACACAUGCAAGUCGAACGGUAACAGGAAACAGCUUGCUGUUUCGCUGACGAGUGGCGGACGGGUGAGUAAUGUCUGGGAAACUGCCUGAUGGAGGGGGAUAACUACUGGAAACGGUAGCUAAUACCGCAUAACGUCGCAAGACCAAAGAGGGGGACCUUCGGGCCUCUUGCCAUCGGAUGUGCCCAGAUGGGAUU
rnacentral:rRNA from 1 species